GACGAACGCUGGCGGCGUGCUUAACACAUGCAAGUCGAACGGAAAGGCCCUGCUUUUGUGGGGUGCUCGAGUGGCGAACGGGUGAGUAACACGUGAGUAACCUGCCCUUGACUUUGGGAUAACUUCAGGAAACUGGGGCUAAUACCGGAUAGGAGCUCCUGCUGCAUGGUGGGGGUUGGAAAGUUUCGGAGGUUGGGGAUGGACUCGCGGCUUAUCAGCUUGUUGGUGGGGUAGUGGCUUACCAAGGCUUUGACGGGUGGCCGGCCUGAGAGGGUGACCGGCCACAUUGGGACUGAGAUACGGCCCAGACUCCUACGGGAGGCAGCAGUGGGGAAUAUUGCACAAUGGGCGGAAGCCUGAUGCAGCAACGCCGCGUGCGGGAUGACGGCCUUCGGGUUGUAAACCGCUUUCGCCUGUGACGAAGCGUGAGUGACGGUAAUGGGUAAAGAAGCACCGGCUAACUACGUG
rnacentral:rRNA from 1 species